rnacentral:rRNA from 1 species
GCAGUCGAGCGGACAGAUGGGAGCUUGCUCCCUGAUGUUAGCGGCGGACGGGUGAGUAACACGUGGGUAACCUGCCUGUAAGACUGGGAUAACUCCGGGAAACCGGGGCUAAUACCGGAUGGUUGUUUGAACCGCAUGGUUCAGACAUAAAAGGUGGCUUCGGCUACCACUUACAGAUGGACCCGCGGCGCAUUAGCUAGUUGGUGAGGUAACGGCUCACCAAGGCAACGAUGCGUAGCCGACCUGAGAGGGUGAUCGGCCACACUGGGACUGAGACACGGCCCAGACUCCUACGGGAGGCAGCAGUAGGGAAUCUUCCGCAAUGGACGAAAGUCUGACGGAGCAACGCCGCGUGAGUGAUGAAGGUUUUCGGAUCGUAAAGCUCUGUUGUUAGGGAAGAACAAGUGCCGUUCAAAUAGGGCGGCACCUUGACGGUACCUAACCAGAAAGCCACGGCUAACUACGUGCCAGCAGCCGCGGUAAUACGUAGGUGGCAAGCGUUGUCCGGAAUUAUUGGGCGUAAAGGGCUCGCAGGCGGUUUCUUAAGUCUGAUGUGAAAGCCCCCGGCUCAACCGGGGAGGGUCAUUGGAAACUGGGGAACUUGAGUGCAGAAGAGGAGAGUGGAAUUCCACG